ACAUGCAAGUCGAACGAACUCUGGUAUUGAUUGGUGCUUGCAUCAUGAUUUACAUUUGAGUGAGUGGCGAACUGGUGAGUAACACGUGGGAAACCUGCCCAGAAGCGGGGGAUAACACCUGGAAACAGAUGCUAAUACCGCAUAACAACUUGGACCGCAUGGUCCGAGUUUGAAAGAUGGCUUCGGCUAUCACUUUUGGAUGGUCCCGCGGCGUAUUAGCUAGAUGGUGGGGUAACGGCUCACCAUGGCAAUGAUACGUAGCCGACCUGAGAGGGUAAUCGGCCACAUUGGGACUGAGACACGGCCCAAACUCCUACGGGAGGCAGCAGUAGGGAAUCUUCCACAAUGGACGAAAGUCUGAUGGAGCAACGCCGCGUGAGUGAAGAAGGGUUUCGGCUCGUAAAACUCUGUUGUUAAAGAAGAACAUAUCUGAGAGUAACUGUUCAGGUAUUGACGGUAUUUAACCAGAAAGCCACGGCUAACUACGUGCCAGCAGCCGCGGUAAUACGUAGGUGGCAAGCGUUGUCCGGAUUUAUUGGGCGUAAAGCGAGCGCAGGCGGUUUUUUAAGUCUGAUGUGAAAGCCUUCGGCUCAACCGAAGAAGUGCAUCGGAAACUGGGAAACUUGAGUGCAGAAGAGGACAGUGGAACUCCAUGUGUAGCGGUGAAAUGCGUAGAUAUAUGGAAGAACACCAGUGGCGAAGGCGGCUGUCUGGUCUGUAACUGACGCUGAGGCUCGAAAGUAUGGGUAGCAAACAGGAUUAGAUACCCUGGUAGUCCAUACCGUAAACGAUGAAUGCUAAGUGUUGGAGGGUUUCCGCCCUUCAGUGCUGCAGCUAACGCAUUAAGCAUUCCGCCUGGGGAGUACGGCCGCAAGGCUGAAACUCAAAGGAAUUGACGGGGGCCCGCACAAGCGGUGGAGCA
rnacentral:rRNA from 1 species